UACGUAGGGGGCAAGCGUUGUCCGGAUUUAUUGGGCGUAAAGAGCUCGUAGGCGGUUCCGUAAGUCGUGAAGUCAAAUCUCUGGGCUCAACCCAGAAUCGCUUCCGAUACUGCGGUGACUGGAGUCCGGUAGGGGAGUGUGGAAUUCCUGGUGUAGCGGUGAAAUGCGCAGAUAUCAGGAGGAAUACCAACAGCGAAGGCAGCACUCUGGGCCGGUACUGACGCUGAGGAGCGAAAGCAUGGGGGAGCGAACAGG
rnacentral:rRNA from 1 species